GACCGGGUUGCGCAGGUUCAGGGCGGGGCCGCGGGGGGCGGCCGGGGCGGCGGCGUACUGCUGGGGGCCGCCGGCGCCGGGCCGGCCGCGCUCG
rnacentral:tRNA from 2 species